rnacentral:rRNA from 1 species
ACGGACUUACAUUGAAGCCUAGCGAUAUGUAAGUUAGUGGCGGACGGGUGAGUAACGCGUGGGUAACCUGCCUUGUACUGGGGGACAACAGUUGGAAACGACUGCUAAUACCGCAUAAGCGCACAGCUUCGCAUGAAGCAGUGUGAAAAACUCCGGUGGUACAAGAUGGACCCGCGUCUGAUUAGCUGGUUGGUGAGGUAACGGCCCACCAAGGCGACGAUCAGUAGCCGGCCUGAGAGGGUGAACGGCCACAUUGGGACUGAGACACGGCCCAAACUCCUACGGGAGGCAGCAGUGGGGAAUAUUGCACAAUGGGGGAAACCCUGAUGCAGCAACGCCGCGUGAGUGAAGAAGUAUUUCGGUAUGUAAAGCUCUAUCAGCAGGAAAGAAAAUGACGGUACCUGACUAAGAAGCCCCGGCUAACUACGUGCCAGCAGCCGCGGUAAUACGUAGGGGGCAAGCGUUAUCCGGAUUUACUGGGUGUAAAGGGAGCGUAGACGGUUUUGCAAGUCUGAAGUGAAAGCCCGGGGCUUAACCCCGGGACUGCUUUGGAAACUGUAGGACUAGAGUGCAGGAGAGGUAAGUGGAAUUCCUAGUGUAGCGGUGAAAUGCGUAGAUAUUAGGAGGAACACCAGUGGCGAAGGCGGCUUACUGGACUGUAACUGACGUUG